rnacentral:rRNA from 1 species
UGAGUGUGGGCUUUGCCUGCUAUCUCUUACCCAUGUCUUUUGAGUACUUACGUUUCCUCGGUGGGUUCGCCCGCCGAUUGGACAAUUUAAACCCUUUGCAGUUGCAAUCAGCGUCUGAAAAACAUAAUAGUUACAACUUUCAACAACGGAUCUCUUGGUUCUGGCAUCGAUGAAGAACGCAGCGAAAUGCGAUAAGUAGUGUGAAUUGCAGAAUUCAGUGAAUCAUCGAAUCUUUGAACGCACAUUGCGCCCCUUGGUAUUCCAUGGGGCAUGCCUGUUCGAGCGUCAUUUGUACCUUCAAGCAUUGCUUGGUGUUGGGUGUUUGUCUCGCCUUUGCGUGUAGACUCGCCUUAAAACAAUUGGCAGCCGGCGUAUUGAUUUCGGAGCGCAGUACAUCUCGCGCUUUGCACUCAUAACGACGACGUCCAAAAGUACAUUUUAACACUCUUGACCUCGGAUCAGGUAGGGAUACCCGCUGAACUUAAGCAUAUCAAUAAGCGGGGGAAAAAGAA